rnacentral:rRNA from 1 species
CGGCACGGGUGAGUAACACGUGAGUGACCUGCCUUUUAGACUGGAACAACUUACCGAAAGGUGAGCUAAUGCCGGAUGAGUUAUAUAAGUGCAUGUUUAUAUAGGAAAAGUUGGGGAGACCUGACGCUGAAAGAUGGACUCGCGUCCCAUUAGCUAGUUGGUAGGGUAAUGCCUACCAAGGCGACGAUGGGUAGCCGGCCUGAGAGGGUGGCCGGCUACACUGGGACUGAGACACGGCCCAGACUCCUACGGAAGGCAGCAG